ACACACGGAUAACAUACCGAAAGGUAUGCUAAUACGGGAUAAUAUAUUUGAGAGGCAUCUCUUAAAUAUCAAAGGUGAGCCAGUACAGGAUGGACCCGCGUCUGAUUAGCUAGUUGGUAAGGUAACGGCUUACCAAGGCGACGAUCAGUAGCCGACCUGAGAGGGUGAUCGGCCACAUUGGAACUGAGACACGGUCCAAACUCCUACGGGAGGCAGCAGUGGGGAAUAUUGCACAAUGGGCGAAAGCCUGAUGCAGCAACGCCGCGUGAGUGAUGAAGGCCUUCGGGUCGUAAGACUCUGUCCUCAAGGAAGAUAAUGACGGUACUUGAGGAGGAAGCCCCGGCUAACUACGUGCCAGCAGCCGCGGUAAUACGUAGGGGGCUAGCGUUAUCCGGAUUUACUGGGCGUAAAGGGUGCGUAGGCGGUCUUUCAAGUCAGGAGUGAAAGGCUACGGCUCAACCGUAGUAAGCUCUUGAAACUGGGAGACUUGAGUGCAGGAGAGGAGAGUGGAAUUCCUAGUGUAGCGGUGAAAUGCGUAGAUAUUAGGAGGAACACCAGUUGCGAAGGCGGCUCUCUGGACUGUAACUGACGCUGAGGCACGAAAGCGUGGGGAGCAAACAGGAUUAGAUACCCUGGUAGUCCACGCUGUAAACGAUGAGUACUAGGUGUCGGGGGUUACCCCCUUCGGUGCCGCAGCUA
rnacentral:rRNA from 1 species